CCAAGGAGUCUAACAUGUGCGCGAGUCGUCGGGUCUUGAACAGGCCCGCAGGCGUAAUGAAAGUGAAGGGUGACCUCUGCGUCGCCUGCGUUGGGAUCCCCGGUUCCUUGGGUCCGGGGCGCACCAACGGCCCGUCCCGUCCGCACCGUCGGAGGGACGGAGCGAGAGCGUACACGUUGGGACCCGAAAGAUGGUGAACUAUGCCUGGGCAGGACGAGGCCAGAGGAAACUCUGGUGGAGGUCCGCAGCGAUUCUGACGUGCAAAUCGAUCGUCAGACCUGGGUAUAGGGGCGAAAGACUAAUCGAACCAUC
rnacentral:rRNA from 1 species